rnacentral:rRNA from 1 species
AUUGAACGCUGGCGGCAUGCCUUACACAUGCAAGUCGAACGGUAACGGGCCUUCGGGUGCCGACGAGUGGCGAACGGGUGAGUAAUGUAUCGGAACGUACCUUUCAGUGGGGGAUAACGUAGCGAAAGUUACGCUAAUACCGCAUAUUCUGUGAGCAGGAAAGCAGGGGAUCGCAAGACCUUGCGCUGAUUGAGCGGCCGAUAUCAGAUUAGCUAGUUGGUGAGGUAAAGGCUCACCAAGGCGACGAUCUGUAGCGGGUCUGAGAGGAUGAUCGGCCACACUGGAACUGAGACACGGUUCAGACUCCUACGGGAGGCAGCAGUGGGGAAUUUUGGACAAUGGGGGCAACCCUGAUCCAGCCAUGCCGCGUGAGUGAAGAAGGCCUUCGGGUUGUAAAGCUCUUUCGGCCGGGAAGAAAUCGUAUCAGCUAAUACCUGGUGCGGAUGACGGUACCGGCAUAAGAAGCACCGGCUAACUACGUGCCAGCAGCCGCCGUAAUAC